rnacentral:rRNA from 1 species
AGCGAACGCUGGCGGCAGGCCUAACACAUGCAAGUCGAACGAAGUCUUCGGACUUAGUGGCGGACGGGUGAGUAACACGCGGGAACGUACCUUUUGGUUCGGAACAACUCAGGGAAACUUGAGCUAAUACCGGAUGAGCCCUUAGGGGGAAAGAUUUAUCGCCGAAAGAGCGGCCCGCGUUAGAUUAGCUAGUUGGUGAGGUAAAGGCUCACCAAGGCUACGAUCUAUAGCUGGUCUGAGAGGAUGAUCAGCCACACUGGGACUGAGACACGGCCCAGAUUCCUGCGGGAGGCAGCAGUGGGGAAUCUUGCGCAAUGGGCGAAAGCCUGACGCAGCCAUGCCGCGUGAAUGAUGAAGGUCUUAGGAUUGUAAAAUUCUUUUACCAGGGACGAUAAUGACGGUACCUGGAGAAAAAGCCCCGGCUAACUUCGUGCCAGCAGCCGCCGUAACAC